AACGAACGCUGGCGGCAUGCCUAACACAUGCAAGUCGAACGAAGUCUUCGGACUUAGUGGCGCACGGGUGCGUAACGCGUGGGAAUCUGCCCUUGGGUACGGAAUAACUCAGAGAAAUUUGUGCUAAUACCGUAUAAUGUCUUCUGACCAAAGAUUUAUCGCCCAAGGAUGAGCCCGCGUAAGAUUAGCUGGUUGGUGGGGUAAAAGCCUACCAAGGCGACGAUCUUUAGCUGGUCUGAGAGGAUGGUCAGCCACACUGGGACUAAGACACGGCCCAGACUCCUACAGGAUGCGGCAGUGGGGAAUAUUGGACAAUGGGCGAAAUCCUGAUCCAGCUAGGCCGCGUGAGUGAUGAAGGCCCUAGGGUUGUAAAGCUCUUUUACCAGGGAUGAUAAUGACAGUACCUGGAGAAUAAGCUCCGGCUAACUCCGUG
rnacentral:rRNA from 1 species